UACGUAGGGUGCAAGCGUUGUCCGGAAUCAUUGGGCGUAAAGCGCGCGUAGGCGGCCCUGUAAGUCCGUUGUGAAAGUCAAAGGCUCAACCUUUGAAAGCCGAUGGAUACUGCAGGGCUAGAGUCCGGAAGAGGCGAGUGGAAUUCCUGGUGUAGCGGUGGAAUGCGCAGAUAUCAGGAGGAACACCAAUAGCGAAGGCAGCUCGCUGGGACGGUACUGACGCUAAGGCGCGAAAGCGUGGGGAGCGAACAGG
rnacentral:rRNA from 1 species